AGCAGCCGCGGUAAUUCCAGCUCCAAUAGCGUAUAUUAAAGUUGUUGCAGUUAAAAAGCUCGUAGUUGAACUUCAGGCCUGGUUGGGCGGUCCGCUUAACGGCGUGUACUGUCUGACUGGGUCUUACCUCUUGGUGAGCCGGCGUGCCCUUAACUGGGCUGCGUCGGGGAACCAGGACUUUUACCUUGAGAAAAU
rnacentral:rRNA from 1 species